GAUGAACGCUGGCGGCGUGCCUAAUACAUGCAAGUCGAGCGAACGGACGAGAAGCUUGCUUCUCUGAUGUUAGCGGCGGACGGGUGAGUAACACGUGGAUAACCUACCUAUAAGACUGGGAUAACUUCGGGAAACCGGAGCUAAUACCGGAUAAUAUUUUGAACCGCAUGGUUCAAAAGUGAAAGACGGUCUUGCUGUCACUUAUAGAUGGAUCCGCGCUGCAUUAGCUAGUUGGUAAGGUAACGGCUUACCAAGGCAACGAUGCAUAGCCGACCUGAGAGGGUGAUCGGCCACACUGGGACUGAGACACGGCCCAGACUCCUACGGGAGGCAGCAGUAGGGAAUCUUCCGCAAUGGGCGAAAGCCUGACGGAGCAACGCCGCGUGAGUGAUGAAGGUCUUCGGAUCGUAAAACUCUGUUAUUAGGGAAGAACAUAUGUGUAAGUAACUGUGCACAUCUUGACGGUACCUAAUCAGAAAGCCACGGCUAACUACGUG
rnacentral:rRNA from 1 species